AGUCUUCUUUGUAGUACAAACAGUCAUGCUGCCCUCAAUCAGGUCCAGGGUUGCAUUAACGUGAUGUUCAUUCAAAGCCUUCUGCACCAAAGGCCAACACUCUUUCAGGUAGGCCUCUCUAUAUUUAGGGAACAAAGUUGCAAAACUGCUCUCCUCCAAGAGUCCUCUGGGAUUGUCCUCUUUAGAAAAAGCUGGUUCCUUCCAACCAUCAGGAACAGUGAGGGGUUCUGAUUCAUCUUGGUUCUCUGGCUUCGGUUUCUGGCUGCGAAAUUCAUUUCCUCAGGUGCUGCAGUUGUCCCGUUCUUCGAGGAGGACGCCAUUUUCAAACUGCUUCCCUUGGGUUAGUAAUUAUGCCUCCGUGUUCAUCCGGCUGAAAAAGAGCUUGGACCAUCCAGGGGCCUAAUGUCUCCUAUGAGCUGAGGAGCUUAGUUGUUGGAUGAUGAAAGAGGUAGUUGAAUCUGGAAUGUGUGAUGCUGGGAUUAAUGGCGUGUGAUUACUAAACCACUACAUCAACAAGAGAAAAGUAACUAACACAGAGGGCCCUCUCUCAAAAAACCAAAACAGAAAAAACAAG
rnacentral:lncRNA from 1 species